rnacentral:lncRNA from 1 species
CAGGCAGUCUCUCUAACUUUUCACAAGAUUCAUCUCUCUGGUAUGUUUCACCGUAAUUAUAUGUGAUGCAUGCCUACUUGCAUAAAUGUAUUAAUGCAUUAAUGUAUUUUCGUUGUAAUGUUCUUUUUACAGGUUUUUUUUGACGGAAAUUUGUUUUUCGACCCGAUGUUUGUUGUUUUUAUUAAUAUCUAAUUCGAAUUUAUAAGAAAUGAGAUCUUUUUUCGAUAGGUUUGAGCUAAUAUUUAGCAGAUUUAGGGUCGUGUUAUUGUUUUGUGGAAUUUUUGUCAUGUUCUGAUUUGAUCUGAAGAUUUUUGCAUCUCAUUAUCACGAUUCAUAUACUUAUCCACCCUUUAUUGAAUUACUAGUUCGAGAAUGGAGAUUUUAAUUUUUUUCUAAUGUUUUUUCCUCUUAGAUCUAUUUGAUCUGGUGAAAUUUUAUACUGAAAAUGGUUUAUAAUGUUAUUAACUGUAAGUUUUAGGCAUUUUCCUCUUAUUUGUUUGCAACACUGUCAUUUUUUGUAUGUGUGAUUAAAUAUCAUGUAUGUAUUGUGGAAUGUGGAUUGAUUUCAUAAGAAAAUCAAAUGCCAAGGAAAGCAACAUGAUAUGACCUAUUGUUGUUUUGUGAAGAGUUGCUUGAUGUGAUGUAAUGUGUGUGUAUAGUUGAAUAUAUAACGCUAUUCAUCCACAAGCUAUACAUUUAAAUUCACAUGCAUCUACAUAGCUGAUUGGUGUGGUAUGCAGUUAAUGUCGAUCAUUGUAUGUGUACACCGUUGGGUGUUGAAGGAAAGAGGUUAUGAAAGAAUAGGAGAUUUUACUUAUGGAAUUUGAGAGUUUUACAAACUGAAUUCUCUUUUUUUCUUUUUUCUUUUUUUAAAUUUUUACAUUUUUCCCCUUUUUUUACACUUCUCAUAUCUCAUCAACAUUAGAUACAUACCUUUCCCUUAUAGAGAAAAUGAAAUAAUCUAAUUCUAAGAAUUUUCUACCAUUAUGACAAGAUACUAGUUGUAAUUUAUCCUCACUUGUAGCUGUAUGUGUUCUCUAGAUUGUUCAAAGCUGCUGAUUGCAGCUGAUUUUCAAUGUUCUAAUAUUCAAUUUGAGCAUAUAAAUUGAAUUGUAAAUCUUUUCCAUUUGACCCUUCCUUGAAUCUUCCAAAGUUAUUGAAGUGUUCUAAUUAAAUUUGAAUUCUUUGAAGAUUACAAAUUAAUUUAAAACUUUUAACACCCCUCUUAAUUUGUAAUCUUCAAUUGCUUCUUGAAUUUCUCGAACUUAUUAAUUGUCACUAAUUCAAAAAUUUUCGAUAGUAUUGCCUAUGCCUUCGUUGGGAAAAUAUCACUCAUUCUUCCAUUGGGGACAGGUGCACGAAUGACAACUCCAAUUGUCACACAUCCGCCGCCUACCUACCGUUUAGGUGAUGAGUCUAAAUAAUAGCGUUUACAAAAUCUAGAUAUAGACAAAAUUUACAAUUUCUCGAGAUGUGUUUAACGAAAGUACAACUUGUGAUUGGAAGAGCAAUCAAGUCAGAUUCCGGACCAUAUCAGUUUGGUGAUCCAUCGACAUCUCAAAAUUUUGACAUUGAGCAACAUUUAGCUCCAAAUAUUCCAACAAUUGAAGAAGAAUAAGAAACCUCUCCAAAAAAGACACGUUCACUAAGAGAAAUCUAUGAAUUACAUAAACUCAGAUUAUUCUCUUGUGAGCCUCAUCUUUGAAGAAGUUUUAAAAGAUAAAAGUUAGACAACGGUAGUGAAUGAAGAAAUUUCCACUAUCGAGAAAAACAAACCUUGAGCUCGUAGACUUUUCAAAAGAAAAGAAGACCAUUGGUCUUAAAUGGGUAUACAAAAUAAAAUACAACCAAGACAGAUCAAUUCAAAAAUAUAAAGUACAAAUUGUCGCCAAAGGAUAGUCUCAACACCCAGAAAUUGAUUUCACAGAAACAUUCACUCCAGUUGUAAGAAUAGAGACGAUCCAUACAAUUAUGGCUUUAGGGCCACAAGUGGAGCUCAAUGUUUUCCAGCUUGAUGUAAAAUCAGCAUUUCUAAACGUCUAAAUACAGAAGAAGUAUAUGUCGAGUAACAUGAAGGUUUUGUAGUCAAAGAAAAAGAAGAUAAAGUUUAUCAUCUUCAAAAGGCAUUAUAUAGCUUCAAACAGGUACCCCGAGCAUGGAAUAGCAAAAUCAACAGCUAUUUUCUUCAAAAUGGUUUCAAGCAAAGCACAAGUGAAUCAUCCCUCUAUGACCAUAUCGAUAGUGAUUGGUAGGAUUGGUUGAUGAUCGGAAAAGCACUUCUAGAUACAUCUUUUGCCUUGGAUAAAAUGUGAUUUCCUUUAGCUCAAUAAAGCAGAAAUUUGUUACUUUACCGUCGAUAGAAAUAGAGUACAUCGUCGCUAUAGAUUUAGCUUGUGAAGCAGUUUGGCUUAGAAGAAUUUUGAAAGAUUUAAAAUUUGAGCAGAAAGGACCACAACAAUUUAUUGCGAUAAAUGAACAAUUGCAAUGUAAAAAAAAAAAAAAAAAAUCAAUUUUCCAUGCUAGUUCAAAGCAUAUUGAAUUUUGACAUCACUUUAUAAAAGAUCUGGUAAAUCAAGAAGAAAUUUGCAUGAAAUUUAUAACUACCAACGAUCAACCGAUUGAGGUAAGUUGACAAAAUCAGUGACGAUUGAUAAGUUCGAGAAAUUCAAAAAUCAUUUGAAGAUUACAAAUUAAGAGGGAGUGGAGUGUUAAAAGUUCUAAAUUAGUUUGUAAUUUUCAAAGAAUUCAAAUCCAAUUAGAACUUUUCAACAAAUUUGAAACAUUCAAAGAAAGGUGAAAUAGAUAAGAUUUACAAUUCAAUUAUAUAUUGAAGCUGAAUAUUCAAAGAUGUAAGUUAGAAUUUUGAAAAACAACUACAGCUUUGAAUAUUUUGGAAAACACUUAUAGCUGUAAAUAAGGACGAAGACAGCUCCAAAUGAAGAAGAUAAAAUAUAGUUGUUAUCUUAUUGUAAUGAUAGAAAAUUCUUAGUCUCCAUUUUCUCUAUAAAAGGAAGGGAUGUAUUAGUUUGAUAAGAUAGGAGAAAUGUAAGAUAAUCUUCGUAAAAAAAGAAAAAAGAGAGAGAAUUGAGUGUGCUGUAGCAACUCACUUGUAAAACUUCCAAAUUUCAUAAUUAAAAUCUCCCUUUUUUCAUAAACUCUUUCUUUCAACACCCAACAAAUUUGGUAUUAGAGAAUAGGAAGAAAAUAAAAGUCAUAUCCAAUCAAAGACAAAACAAAAUCAACACUAGAGCCCCCUGGGCAUGGCGCAGUGGUAAAGCAGGAAGAUACUUUAUGGAGGUUCAAAUUUCUAAAGCAGCUAGAAAGCAACAUUUAUGUUGGAAGGUAGAUAUCUUGCGGAAACAAAUUCAUAGUGCACCUUGUCACCCCUUCGAGGUCCAUCUGCACGUCAUAAGGGGGGUCCAUAGUGAUGAGAACCACUUCUCGAAUAUUUGGUCCAAGUGUGUAUAAGCUGUGAACGCAUUCGAUUUACUUGAAUAGCAAAGCAAAGGAAAAGGUCAACACUCCUUAGAAUUAGUCAGGCGAAGUUCGGAUACCUGAGUCAUAAAAAUAAUAAUAAUAAUCAACACUAAAGACUUUCCUUCCUUCUAUAGAAAAAAUGGAGUAAUCUAGUUUUAAGAAUUUUCUACCAUUACAACAAGAUAAUAGCCGUAUUCUAUUCUCAUUUGCAACUGUGUUCUUUAUUUGGAGCUCCAGAAUGUUCGAGGCUAUUGCCUGGAGCUGAUUUUCAAAGUUCUAGCUUGCAUCUUUGAUUAUUCAACUUGAAUAUAUAAAUUGAAUUGUAAAUUUUAUCCAUAUGGCCUUUCUUUGUAUCUUCCUAAGUUGUUGAAGUAUUCUAAUUGGAUUUGAAUUCUUUGAAGAUUAUAAAUUAAUUUAAAACUUUUAACAUAUACAACAUAAUUCAUCAAAAAACUUCCAAAUAUAGAUUCACGGGUGUAUUUGUGUAACUUUGACAGGGGGCAAUGUUAUUUAUACAAUAAUGAUCGUGGUAGUGUGUCACAUGAUUCUUGGGAGGCCUGUAUAAUUGAUAUUCCCAUUGUUUAUCCAAAGAUGUUGGUAAUGGAUAAUUAGUGCUGACCAAAAGUGACUGAGGCAUAUAAAAUGGAUUAGAUCUCUAAUUAUUUCAUGGUAUUAUCAGAUUUUAAAUUAGACUAGACACAAUUUAAUGUUAUGAAUAUCUAGUUUUGCAAAUAAGUGGUGCAAAUAAUAUGCAUCCCACAGUUUCAUGGCACCUGUAUUAAUGUGGUGACCCGGUGGACUAUAAACAUAAUAACCAUGUGUAGCUGUAGCCCGUUGUUGUUCAUGUAAUGUUGAUUGGAUGCAAUAAUGUGCAGGGAUCAAAAGCAAGAAGGAAAAAUGGGGCUGACAUUCACAAAGCUGUUUAGCAGGCUUUUUGCUAAGAAGGAGAUGCGUAUUCUGAUGGUUGGUCUGGAUGCUGCUGGUAAGACCACCAUUCUGUACAAGCUCAAGCUUGGAGAGAUUGUCACUACCAUUCCUACAAUNNUUUUUU